UGGGGGAUAUUGCACAAUGGGGGAAACCCUGAUGCAGCGACGCCGCGUGUAGGAAGACGGUCCUCUGGAUUGUAAACUACUGUCUUCGGGGACGAUAAUGACGGUACCCGAAGAGGAAGCUCCGGCUAACUUCGUGCCAGCAGCCGCGGUAAUACGAAGGGGGCAAGCGUUGUUCGGAAUUACUGGGCGUAAAGCGCACGCAGGCGGCGUGACGCGUCAGAAGUGAAAUCCCCGGGCUCAACCUGGGAACUGCUUUUGAAACGGUCAUGCUUGAAUCAUGGAGAGGGUAGCGGAAUUCCGAGUGUAGAGGUGAAAUGCGUAGAUAUACGGAGGAACACCAGUGGCGAAGGCGGCCUGCUGGACAUUAACUGACGCUGAGGCGCGAAAGCGUGGGGAGCAAACA
rnacentral:rRNA from 1 species